GUGAAUCAUCAAAUCUUUGAACGCACAUUGCACUCCCUGGUAUUCCGGGGAGUAUGCCUGUUUGAGGGUCGUUAGAAGACCAAUAGAAGCAUCGCUCUUUUUUUGAGGGUGAUCGCGUCGCAAUUGAGCAGUGUUUCAACUGUUACUUCAUGUCAAAGUGGUUUAAAAUCCAUUCAUCAGAUACGCUUAAAG
rnacentral:misc_RNA from 1 species